rnacentral:rRNA from 1 species
UACAGAGGGGGCAAGCGUUGUUCGGAAUUACUGGGCGUAAAGGGCGCGUAGGCGGCCUGCUAAGUCUAACGUGAAAUCCCCAGGCUCAACCUGGGAACUGCGUCCGAUACUGACAGGCUUGAAUCCGGGAGAGGGAUGUGGAAUUCCAGGUGUAGCGGUGAAAUGCGUAGAUAUCUGGAGGAACACCGGUGGCGAAGGCGGCAUCCUGGACCGGUAUUGACGCUGAGGCGCGAAAGCUAGGGUAGCAAACGGG